UCUCUGCCUACUAGAGCCCUGUCCCACGGGACACCUUUGAUCUGGUGGUGCCAUCUGGAGGGCUUUCUAUCAAGUGUCCUGUGCAGGAGUCUUAGCAGGGAAAACUCUUCUCUGACCCAGAGUUUAUGCCACCAGCGAGGUAUGGAUGAAAUCACGAAGGGAAGGAGAGUAGCUUAAAUGCGGUGGGAAAGUGAGAAAAACCCAUCACAGGUAGCUUUUGGAGACCCCCCUUUUUGUCUGCAGCUGUGCAAAAUGAAGGAAGAUAAUGGGAUGUGCAGCCUCCCUUCCUCACUGGCCUUGCUCUGACCAUCUCCGCAGAAGAGACAACAAGUAAAGCUCUCCCAACAACACCUGAGACCACUACUUUUGAAGUCAUAGCUGAUGGUGAGUCUGUCUGCCAGAGUCCUCGUCGUGGCCCUGGGCACGGGGACGUACCUGCCCGCUGCUGCCCCAGCCUCUCCGUCCCCCAGCGUGGGAGCCCGAGAAGGCUCAGCACCCUGAGCUGGGCUGCGCGUGGAUGCCGCUGGGUGUCACGGGCAGCUGUCCCCCGAGGAGGACGUGGGAGCCUGUGCUCUCCUGUCAAAUGUCAUUAUCUGAAACCAGGGCACUGCUGGCCUGACCAAGGGGUUUAUGUCUCUCAAAGAGCUGUUGCUGCAGCUGACCGGUGGCCUGAACAGAUGGGCAGGCAAUGUGGAAGUCUUCUUAUUUCGGAGCCUGGCUGAAAGUGUGUGGAUACCUGUAGGACAUGCAAGACGCCGAGGUUGCGUGCAGGCAGCUUGGCUGCAGCUCACCUCU